UAGGAAGAUUAACGUGCAUUAGGGCUUCUAACCUUGAGGCGGGCGGUAGUGUCGUCCCUUCCUAA
rnacentral:tRNA from 1 species